rnacentral:rRNA from 1 species
UACGAAGGGAGCAAGCGUUGUUCGGAUUUACUGGGCGUAAAGGGUGUGUAGGCGGUUUUGCAAGUUGGAUGUGAAAGCCCCGGGCUUAACUCGGGAAUUGCAUUCAAGACUGCAUCACUUGAGUGUGGAAGAGGUUGGUGGAAUUCCUAGUGUAGAGGUGAAAUUCGUAGAUAUUAGGAAGAACACCCGUGGCGAAGGCGGCCAACUGGUCCACAACUGACGCUGAGACACGAAAGCGUGGGGAGCAAACAGG